UUACUCACUUUGGAGGGGUGCCCGCCUAAGGUCGGCCCAAGUGGUCGAGCCUACGUCAUAAUUUGUGGCAGUGGGGGCUUGCGUUCGCGCAGCCCCUGC
rnacentral:scaRNA from 1 species